rnacentral:tRNA from 1 species
GCCGACCUAGAUCAGUGGUAGAGCGCGUGGCUUUUAACCACGUGGCCGUGGGUUCGAUCCCCACGGUCGGCG